rnacentral:rRNA from 1 species
CGAAAGCCUGACGGAGCAAGACCGCGUGAGGGAGGAAGGCUCUUGGGUUGUAAACCUCUUUUCUCAGGGAAGAAGCUCUGACGGUACCUGAGGAAUCAGCCUCGGCUAACUCCGUGCCAGCAGCCGCGGUAAUACGGAGGAGGCAAGCGUUAUCCGGAAUUAUUGGGCGUAAAGCGUCCGCAGGCGGUUAAUCAAGUCUGCUGUCAAAGUCCAGGGCUCAACUCUGGGUCGGCAGUGGAAACUGGUUAACUUGAGUACGGUAGGGGUAGAGGGAAUUCCCAGUGUAGCGGUGAAAUGCGUAGAUAUUGGGAAGAACACCAGUGGCGAAGGCGCUCUACUGGGCCGUAACUGACGCUGAGGGACGAAAGCUAGGGGAGCG